GAUGAACGCUGGCGGCGUGCCUAAUACAUGCAAGUCGAGCGAACGGACGAGAAGCUUGCUUUUCUGAUGUUAGCGGCGGACGGGUGAGUAACACGUGGAUAACCUACCUAUAAGACUGGGAUAACUUCGGGAAACCGGAGCUAAUACCGGAUAAUAUUUUGAACCACAUGGUUCAAAAGUGAAAGACGGUCUUGCUGUCACUUAUAGAUGGAUCCGCGCUGCAUUAGCUAGUUGGUAAGGUAACGGCUUACCAAGGCAACGAUGCAUAGCCGACCUGAGAGGGUGAUCGGCCACACUGGAACUGAGACACGGUCCAGACUCCUACGGGAGGCAGCAGUAGGGAAUCUUCCGCAAAGGGCGAAAGCCUGACGGAGCAACGCCGCGUGAGUGAUGAAGGUCUUCGGAUCGUAAAACUCUGUUAUUAGGGAAGAACAUAUGUGUAAGUAACUGUGCACAUCUUGACGGUACCUAAUCAGAAAGCCACGGCUAACUACGUG
rnacentral:rRNA from 1 species